AUGAGUGAUUCCCUAGACAAACUAUUUGAACCAGAGGAUGUGCACAAGGCCCUUUUCCAGAUGGCGCCAUCUAAGGCGCCGGGUGUGGACGGCUUCACUGCGGGUUUUUUCCAAAAGCAUUGGGAGUUACUUCGCGAUGAUGUAACAAAUGUUGUUCUGGGUUUUCUGAAUGGAGACGAGUUGCCAGUGGGUUUAAAUGACACUUCCAUCACACUUAUACGAAAGGUACAGAACCCACAGUCUAUCUCGCAGUAUCGGCCAAUUUCCCUUUGCCCAGUUCUGUAUAAAUUGACAGCCAAGGCCAUUACAAAUAAAAUCAGGGAUUUUUUGGAUGAGAUAAUUAGUGAAGAACAAAGUGAUUUUAUCCCCGGACGCCUAAUUACUAAUAACGUGCUAGUCGCGUUUGAGAGUGUCCAUGCUAUGCGGAGAAGGAAGAAGGGGAAAAAUUAUACUUGCGCAAUCAAACUUGAUAUGAUGAAGGCCUAUGAUCGUGUCGAAUGGAGCUUUCUUGAAGCUAUCUUACUCAAGUUUGGUUUUGGCAUUGAUCUUGUUAGACUUAUCAUGAAGUGCGUAACUUCGGUUCGCUUUGCUGUUUGUGUAAAUGGGGAGCUCUUGCCUUUUUUCAGUCCCUCUCGUGGAUUGAGACAGGGAUGCCCCAUGUCACCAUUUUUGUUCCUCAUAUGUGCAGAAGGUUUUUCAUGCUUACUCAAAUAUUAUGGCACCAUUGAUAGAGGAAUCGGAGUCAAUUUCAGAGCCCCAUGGGUCAAUCACCUGCUCUUCGCGGAUGACAGCCUUAUUUUUAUGAAAGCAGAAGAUCUAAGUGCGGCUAGGCUGAAUAACAUACUUCAAAUAUAUGGUUCUGCUCCAGGCCAGCGUGUAAACAGAGAGAAAAGUGCUAUUUUCUUCAGUCCAAACACACCGGCUUCAUGCAGACAAGCUAUCAAGAAUGCUUUGGACGUCCAUGUUGAUGCGUUCAUCGAAUGAUAUCUGGGUCUUCCAACUGUUGUGGGUAAAAUAACUAGCGGCACCUUCGAGCAUAUAAAGGAAAGAUCUAGGAGUAAAAUGCAGGGAUGGUCAGAGAGACUCUUUGCUUAUGCAGGGUGAGAAACUUUACUGAAGUCCAUUAUACAAGCAAUUCCCACAUACAGCAUGAGUGUCUUUUUGUUGACCAAGAAGGUAUCCAAAAGCCUCACAUCUUGCAUGGCUAAAUUUUGGUGGAGUAGCUUGAUUGAUAAGCGGUCAUUACAU
rnacentral:rRNA from 1 species